AUAAGGAAGCUUCUAACUGAAUAUAUUAAAAAAGAAAAGAAAAAAAAGAGGAAAACUACCAAAGCAGGGUACCGUGUACCUUCCAUGAUAAAGGUUACUAGCGAUGUAUAACGAUCAGUAACUAGAUAAUGGUCGUCUUCGUUAACGGAGAUGUCAGAUAGAUUAUUCCCCCCACAGUUUCUCUUUACUCCCACCUACACGAAUUGUUCCCUCUUAUCAGAUCACGACAAACAGAUAGACACAGAUAGAUAAACGGACGGACGGACGAAACGACCGACCGACCGACCGACCGACCGACUGACUGAAUGACUGACUGACGAAAAGUUAAAGUUCGAUCACGUUUUGUCAAAUUUGUAACACGAAGAGAAAGAAGAUUUAAUUAAUUUUUGAUUUAACGUUAUUUAAAAAUUCGUGCGUGUGUAAAUAUACAUUAUCGUUGAUUGAACAAAAACUCAAGUGACAUUUUUUUGAGAUAAUACAUUUCGAGAACAUUAAAAUAUCAGAGCUCUCUUUCUCUCUCUCUCUCUCUCUCUCUCUCUCUCUUUCUUUCUCUUUCUUUCUCUUUUUUUCUUUCUUUCUUUCUUUUACGUGCAAACGUAAAAUAUUGUGACGGGAAACAAGAAGAAUAAAGAGGGAUAGAGAUCAAAAAGAAAAAGAAAGAAAAAAAAAAUAAUAACUUAACACUCUCGAGUUUAUCGUUAUGUAAAUAAUAAUAAAAGAAAAAAAAAAAAAAAAAAAAAGAAACAAAAAAAGAAAAAUAAGAAAAAGAAAGAAAACGUCUGAGUGCAGUGAUAAUCGCAAAUUAUAAAAAACGAUGAUAUAUUUUCAAGCAGUCUUGUUCACGUUAUCUCGAAAUAUUUAAUUUACUUUUGCUAAACGUCUUAAGGGAGAACAUUUUUAUUAAGUGAACAUUCUUGAUUUCUUGUUUGGAUUAGUACGUUGGAAAAUUUUCUACGACCUUUCCUCCGUUUAAAAUACAAAUAAAGAAAAGAAAAUCUAUUAUCGUUGAUUUGCGUUCUUGUUCCAUUUUAUCCCUUAAAUUUAUCUAAAAAGAUAAGAGAAAACAAGAGAGUGAGAGAGAAAAAAGAGAAAGAAAGAAAAAGAGAAAGUAGUAAAUACGUGUCCUAAAGGAAAAUACACGAGUAUAUUAUCGACGUUUACGAUGAGAAAAAAAGAAAUGCAUUAUAUGUUAUGCACAUAAAUAGGAAAAUAACUAAGUGUUUUCGCGUUAUCUAACAAAUGGCAAUAUUAUAAGCGUGGACGUAUUUAUUUCGACGAUUGUAUGUGGAUUAACGUCGACGAGACCAGAUGUGUUAAUAAUAAUAAUAAUAAUAAUAAUAAUAAUAAUAAUAAUAAUAAUAAUAAUAAUAAUAAUAAUAAUAACAAUAAUAAUAAUAAUAAUAAUAAUAAUAAUAAUAAUAAUAA